AACUUGUAACUGAAACAUUUAGUUAUAUACAUGCUUUUAUACAUUCAUUUACAUGUCUCUAUACAUCAAAAUGGAUGAUACAUGAACUCAAAAUGGUAAUUGCUAAACUCUGGUGUCAGCUAGCUAAGCUGCAGGGCCCUUGCCACGAUCCUCGGCCUCAAAACCCGCACUGGAACUUGUAUGGUUAGUGGUGUGAGAACUACAAGAAAGUUCCCAGUGGGUUCGGCUGCCGACUUCGCCGACUCACCCACUAGGUCUACUCAGGCAUAUGUAGGCAAGAAAAGUAAGCAGAUAGUAACCAACUAUAACAUGUAACUACUACAAUGCCUGUACAAAGCUGAAAGAAGUAACAGAUAUAAAAACUGUAAAUAUGCAUGCAUGCUUUUCAUUAACUUUACCCAAUCUUUUGGUUAACGCUCUGGUUAACUGCUGGACAAGUACGUUAGUCCUGGGGCAAGUACGUUAGCCCAUAAAUUUACCCAAUUCAGUGGUUAACCCUUUGGUUAACAAUAACUCACCAACGAAAUCCCUCACGGGCCUUAAGCUGCCUCCCGAUGGGACCGUCUGUCGGACAAGUACGUUAGUCCUGGGGCAAGUACGUUAGCCCAACAAGUGACUACUCCGGAGCUCACUGCCUGGGGGGAGCGACCACCACCAAGCUAAGAAAACAGACUAUGUGAGUAAGAUCUGAUCCCCCUUUAGAGGAUUCAACUGACAACAAUGUCACAAUUUAACUCUAACUAGUUCUUUAUACUAGUUUCAUAAUUGCAUUUCUUGAUGCUAACCAAAUCUCUAGUCAUGAUGUCACCAAGUUUACUAUUGUCAAAGUCCAUGCAUUCAUAGGGUUCUAUGUCCACAAUCUAAGGUUCACAAAUUCUUAUUGUUGAUAGGAAUUCACAUUUUCACUCGCUCAAUGCCAAACACCCUAUAAUGCAUGACUACAAAUAUAAAUAUGCUCAACGGAGAAUUAUAGACAUAAAAGGUGAUUCAAAGAGUUCGG
rnacentral:lncRNA from 1 species